rnacentral:rRNA from 1 species
GAUGAACGCUGGCGGCGUGCCUAAUACAUGCAAGUCGAGCGAACAGAUGAGGAGCUUGCUCCUCUGACGUUAGCGGCGGACGGGUGAGUAACACGUGGAUAACCUACCUAUAAGACUGGGAUAACUUCGGGAAACCGGAGCUAAUACCGGAUAAUAUAUUGAACCGCAUGGUUCAAUAGUGAAAGACGGUUUUGCUGUCACUUAUAGAUGGAUCCACGCCGCAUUAGCUAGUUGGUAAGGUAACGGCUUACCAAGGCAACGAUGCGUAGCCGACAUGAGAGAGAGAUCGGCCACACUGGAACUGAGACACGGUCCAGACUCCUACGGGAGGCAGCAGUAGGGAAUCUUCCGCAAUGGGCGAAAGCCUGACGGAGCAACGCCGCGUGAGUGAUGAAGGUCUUCGGAUCGUAAAACUCUGUUAUUAGGGAAGAACAAAUGUGUAAGUAACUAUGCACGUCUUGACGGUACCUAAUCAGAAAGCCACGGCUAACUACGUG